AGCGUAACACUGAACGUGCCUGCGCAAUGGGUGUCGGGUCCGCUUUUUCCCAAUCCGGACGUAAUCGUGGUUUUUGUUCUGCAAUAGGCGGCUUAGAGGGAGGGGCUUUUUCGCCUAUACCUACUGUAGCUUCUCCACGUAUGGACCCUAAAGGCUACUGCUGCUACUACGGGGCUAGACAGUUACUGUCUCAGCUCUAGGAUGUAAUUAAAAAACAGUGGAAUGGAAAAACAGUGCUGUAGUCAUCCUGUAAUAUGCUCCUUGUCAACAAUGUAUACAUUCCUGCUAGGUGCCAUAUUCAUUGCUUUAAGCUCAAGUCGCAUCUUACUAGUGAAGUAUUCUGCCAAUGAAGAAAACAAGUAUGAUUAUCUUCCAACUACUGUGAAUGUGUGCUCAGAACUGGUGAAGCUAGUUUUCUGUGUGCUUGUGUCAUUCUGUGUUAUAAAGAAAGAUCAUCAAAGUAGAAAUUUGAAAUAUGCUUCCUGG
rnacentral:lncRNA from 1 species